AGAGUUUGAUCCUGGCUCAGAACGAACGCUGGCGGCGUGCCUAACACAUGCAAGUCGAACGUGAAAGGGGCUUCGGCCCUGAGUAAAGUGGCGCACGGGUGAGUAACGCGUGGGUAAUCUGCCCUCGGGAUCGGGAUAACCCGCCGAAAGGUGGGCUAAUACCGGAUAACGUCCUCCUGCUCAAGCAGGAAGACCAAAGGUGGCUUCGGCUGCCACUUGAGGAUGAGCCCGCGUACCAUUAGCUAGUUGGCAGGGUAAUGGCCUACCAAGGCGACGAUGGUUAGCUGGUCUGAGAGGACGACCAGCCACACUGGAACUGAGACACGGUCCAGACUCCUACGGGAGGCAGCAGUGGGGAAUAUUGCGCAAUGGGGGAAACCCUGACGCAGCGACGCCGCGUGAGCGAUGAAGGCCCUCGGGUCGUAAAGCUCUGUCGGGAGGGAAGAACCCUUCCGGGGUUAACAGCCCCGGGAGCUGACGGUACCUCCAGAGGAAGCACCGGCUAACUACGUGCCAGCAGCCGCGGUAAUACGUAGGGUGCGAGCGUUGUUCGGAAUCACUGGGCGUAAAGGGCGUGUAGGCGGCUCGGUAAGUCGGGAGUGAAAUCCCACGGCUCAACCGUGGAAUUGCUCUCGAUACUGCUGAGCUUGAGUACGGGAGAGGAAGGCGGAAUUCCCAGUGUAGAGGUGAAAUUCGUAGAUAUUGGGAAGAACACCGGUGGCGAAGGCGGCCUUCUGGACCGAUACUGACGCUGAGGCGCGAAAGCGUGGGGAGCAAACAGGAUUAGAUACCCUGGUAGUCCACGCUGUAAACGGUGAGUACUAGGUGUAGAGGGUAUCGACCCCCUCUGUGCCGCAGCUAACGCAUUAAGUACUCCGCCUGGGGACUACGGCCGCAAGGCUAAAACUCAAAUGAAUUGACGG
rnacentral:rRNA from 1 species